GGAUCGUUCUUUUUGGUGAAUCUCGUGGUUUUCGCUUGACUGUGAAUGGCUCUGUGGUGUUGAUGUUUCGAGCUUUCUGUAUGAUAUCUGUUUGCUAAAAUGCCGGAUUGGAAUGCGAUUGGUGGAUUGAAACGUGAUUUGAGUUUUCCGCGACAAUCUUGCUCAAUUAAAUGCCUAUAUGGGACGCUGAAUGGAAAACUAGUUGUGAUUUGAUUAUGGAAUGAUCUAGCUUUACUCUAUGAAGACUCUCCAGAGUUCCACCAAGGAUUUGAGGCGUUGUGUGAAUUCUUUGAGGUCGUCAGUUGUUUUGGUCCUAUUCAAAUGAAGAUCUCGAACUUGUCUUGAAGCUUGGAUUUUGAAUUUCAUUUUGGUGUUGCGGCUGCCCUGCUUCUCUUGUCUAACGGUGGGGUUUUGGGAGUAUUCAAGUUGAUGGGUGGAGAUGACUCUCAAGAUAUUACGGAAGGUAUUACGGACGGAGUAGACGAGGAGGCGGGAUGGACGCAUGGUACUGUCUGAAGUCUAGGAGUGUAGAGCAUACUGAUUUCAUUGUGAAAGAUUUUUUUUUAUUAUUUGUAAAGAGGGAUGUUUGGGAAUUAUUGUCCUUAUUCAUUAAA